rnacentral:rRNA from 1 species
AACGAACGCUGGCGGCAUGCCUAACACAUGCAAGUCGAACGAGACCUUCGGGUCUAGUGGCGCACGGGUGCGUAACGCGUGGGAACCUGCCCUUAGGUUCGGAAUAACUCCCCGAAAGGGGUGCUAAUACCGGAUAAUGUCUUCGGACCAAAGAUUUAUCGCCUUUGGAUGGGCCCGCGUUGGAUUAGCUAGUUGGUAGGGUAAAAGCCUACCAAGGCGACGAUCCAUAGCUGGUCUGAGAGGAUGAUCAGCCACACUGGGACUGAGACACGGCCCAGACUCCUACGGGAGGCAGCAGUAGGGAAUAUUGGACAAUGGACGAAAGCCUGAUCCAGCAAUGCCGCGUGAGUGAUGAAGGCCUUAGGGUUGUAAAGCUCUUUUACCCGGGAUGAUAAUGACAGUACCGGGAGAAUAAGCUCCGGCUAACUCCGUG